ensembl:lncRNA
CUGCAGAGACUCUCACUGGGACCUGCUGAGCCUCAGGGGCCCAGAAGACCAGGAGAUGGUUGAUGAGAUGGUUGAUGAGCUGGUGGCUCGCGCCCCCUUCCCACUAACCAGCCACCUCUGGGUGGGCCUGCGCAGGUCCCUUUCAGGAAGCACCUGGUUUUGGAUGUCCGCUGACCCGAUGGACUUCAGCCAAUGGGACGAAGGCUCAUACCAUUCCUCCCCCUGUGGGGGCGUGUCCAGCGUGGAACCUUCCACAUGGAGGCAGCGCUCCUGUGAAGAACAUCUUAACUUCAUCUGUUUCACAGGUCAGACAGAAGGAGUGAACAAGUUGCACUUUUAUAGUUCCACAAGAGAGAAUCAAGCUCGCUGCACCUUACUUGGCCGCCCUGGGGAAUAAAGCGGCAGAUUCUGAAGACGUCCUGAGGAUUGAAGGUUCUAAAUGAAGUAGCUCAGAGUGUCUGUUUUGUCUGCUAGCUGGUUCUGCAUUUUGUCAUUAUGGGCUUCAUGAAAGGCCACAUUUAUUCCCAGCAUAGCAUAAAGGAUAUAUUUACUUUGGUAUAUAAUCAAUAAACGUAUUUAUUAGCAGAUGUAGGUGCAUCAUUCCUUUGUUAAGAAAUGUGGAGAAUGUGAGUUCAAGAUGGUAUCAAAAGACUAGAUGAAGUAUCUGUUGGCUUUAUCUCUGUCUGGCUUGACUGAUGUGAU